CCAGUUUUCUGGUAUUCUCCGGUAUUCUGGCCUGGAAAAUUCCAAGGACUGUAUAGACCAUGGGGUGGCAGAGUCCAACACAACUGAACGACUUUCAUUUUCAAACACUGAAGAAUUUUGUCUUUUUUCUUAAAAUGCUAAAGAUUUUAAAAACAAGCUAGUCAUUUGCUCUUCAUUGGAAGCUGUGGCUGUUAGAUGUGUCACUUGUCUUAGAAACUCUUGCCCCAUUUGUAAAAUAAAAACUUACUUCAGGGACUUUCCUGGUGGUCCAGUAGUUAAGACUGUGCUCCCAAUGCAGGAGGCCUGGGUUCGAUCUCUGAUCAGGGAACUAGAUCCCACAUGUUACAACUAAGACCCAGAGCAAAUAAAUAAAAAACAAACUUCACAAGUGUUGAUUGGGAAGAUAUAUGAGAAUGUAGAAAAAGGUAGCACAGUGCCCAUCAGAGGUACUUUUCAAAUGCUUGAUGUUACCUCUCUAAGUCUCACUUUAAUGCUCAACACCGGUGGUUUCUAAGCACUUUGAAAACUCCUUUGAGAUUCAGAUGAAAGCUAUGAAAAAUAUACUAAAGGCAUCACAGUUUCAUAGGGCUCAUGGACCCAGAAUCCUUGCUCUGCAGUAUAAACUCAGUUAAUCUCACUCGGCUUCUACACUGAAAACAUUAAUCAGAGCUUUAUUAGAAUAUACUUUUAGAAGUAUAUGUUACUUAAAACAUUCCUUUCCAAUCUCAGAUAUAGUUCUCAGUAUGUAUGCUGACUUAAGCAUAGUGCUGAUAAUACUGGUAAUGUUUUGUUAGUGGCUAAUUGCAGGACUCCCAUCAUUUCAAGUUAUUGAUAGUAACUCCAGUAUGUGCAGUUUGCCAUUUUACCAGCUCUACUCAUGGACCACUUGUUAACCCAAUUCAUUCAUUCAUUCGUUGUUGAAUGAGUCGCUAAAUCGUGUCCAACUCUUGCCACCUCAGGACUCUCUUCUGCCAGGCUCCUCUGUAGUGGGAUUUCCCAGGCAAGAUUCCUGGAGUGGUUGGCCAUUACCUUCUCCAGGGGAUCUUCCCUACCCAGCGAUGGAACCUGCACCUCCUGUGUUGGCUGGCGGAUUCAUUACUGUUGAGCCACCAGAGAAGCCCAUUCAUUCGUUACAUCUUUGAAAAUAGCACCUGAUAACUGAGCUCCAAGGUUAUUAGUUGUGGUUAAUGUGUUUGAUUUUAAUGGCAAGCUAAGAGAAAAUAAACUCUUAUUUACAAAAUUUUAUCAAUUAAAGCCCUUGAAGAUUCCAGGUGUUCCUUUGAAAUUGGUUUCCUCCGUAAGAUUCUAGCAGUCAUUUUUGGCUUCUAAUUACAUUUGCUUAAAUCUAAAAUAUAACAUUCUAGACAAAAGGAAAAUCAAGUUUCACUAAUAUACAUAGUCAGUAGGUAGUACUUCAGCAGUAAAGAAUAGUCUAUAAAUGAAACCAUUGUUUUUAAAAUGAUUUUUAUUUUUCUGAAAAGACAUACUCAAGUCAAGGUGAGGGUUUUUUUUUUUUUUUUUUCAAGUGAAGCGUUUGUCUCCAAAUAAACAGUAAGAUUGAUACCAUUUUAUAGAAAAGCACUAGGUGCUGUAAUUUUGGGAGGAGGCGGAAAAAAAGAUGGCUCAAUGUUAAAUUUCUAAUGCUGUAUUACACUGAAAUAUAUAACAAAGAUGCAGCAUUUACAGGAAAAAAAUUUUUUUUAAGAAUUCUUCCUCCUGCUAUCCACCCUGCCAAAGUUCAGUGCCAGCUAGGGCUGUUUGAUGGGGUGAUGUGAUUAAAAAAAAAAAAGAGCAGUUAGCUCAAAUAACUAAAUAUUGGCAGAAUACAAUCUCUAAGACAGUUUUCCCUAUGUACGGGGAUAGCUAGCUCUUACUUCGAAGAAGGCAAUGGCAACCCACUCCAGUACUCUUGCCUGGAAAGUCCCAUGGACAGAGGAGCCUGGAAGGCUGCAGUCCAUGGGGUCGCUAAGAGUUGGACACAACUGAGCGACUUCACUUUCACUUUUCACUUUCACGCAUUGGAGAAGGAAAUGGCAACCCACUCCAGUGUUCUUGCCUAGAGAAUCUCAGGGAUGGGGGAGCCUGGUGGGCUGCAGUCUAUGGGGUUGCACAGAGUCGGACACGACUGAAGUGACUUAGUAGCAGCAGCAGCUCUUACUUAAUGAAUAAACAUUGAGUAUUACUUUUUAGAGAACUUUAAACAAACUUGAAACUGAAAACUGAAAAUUGAGAUACUCGUAUAUCAGAAAACUCACCAUUUUAAAGUAUACAUGCACUUCAGUAGUUUUUAUUCACCAGGCUGUUCAACCAUCACCAGUACCCAAUGGGAAACACUUUAAUCAUGCCAACAGAAAACCUACGCCCAUCACACUCACUCCAUUCCGUCAUCCCUCCCCACCCCUGUCCCAGUGACUACUAAUCUACGGAUCUGCUCAUUCCUGACAUUUCAUAUAUAUGGACUUGUGUCUGAAUUGUUUUCAGGGCUCAUCCACUCUGUAGUGUGUAAUUGCACAUCAUUCCUUUUUACUGUCAAAAAUCUGAUUGCAUGGAUAUUUCACAUUUUGUUUAUCCACUCACCAGUGGCUAUUUGGAUUGUUUCCUGCUCUUGGCUAUAAUAAUGCUAGUAUGAACAACUGUGCACCAAGUUCUUGUGUGGAUAGGCUUCAAUUCUCUCAAAUUAUAUAUAUAUAUAUGUGUGUGCGUAUACAUAUAUAUAUGUGUAUGAGUGGAAUUUUUAGGUGACACUUUUCAACCUUUUAAGGAACUGUCAAACUUUU
ensembl:lncRNA